UCCUGCUAACUUUUCUUGUUUACAUUUUUUUCAUUUGUAACCUUACAGUUAAUAUUAUCGUGUUAUCUGUUUAUCAAGUUAUCUGAUUUAAUUUGUUUUGUUAUUUUAAUAACAAUGUAUUUGUUUCGUGCUCCUCUUCAAUUGUUUUUUUUAUUCGCAAUGGUUUUUGAUCCUAAUAUGACAAAUACAAGGGAUAAUGCUACUGUGAUUCCAAAUGAUCAUCAUCAUCAACAACAUCAAGAACAAGAACAACAAGAAUCCUUUCCUGAUUCAAAUGUUAGAAGAGUCUGUAGACCAUUUUUUAUACAUCUGCAUUGAAUUUUUUCAUUCGAUUGUUCAGAGGAAUUUUUUGACCAUAAUCCCAUAAUGACACGAGAUUAGCUAUUUUCAUUUUGAACAAAAGAGAUGAUGAAAUAAUACCUAAAGAUUAUGAGAAUGGUUAGAGCGAGGAAAAGCAGCAACGCGUAGACUAGAUCACUCAUGAUUGACCGAUUAAAUAAAUUGUUACAAGUAUUUAUACAUUUUUAAUAACUUUAUUCUUAUAUUAGAUCAUUUUUGACCAAGAAAGAUUCAUAUUUGUCUGAGAAUUCUUUGCUCUUCAGUAGAUUCAUCAACUCCAACUCUGAUUGACACAUUUUGAUAAUAAUGAUUAUCUAACAAAGACUAGUGCUUUUUAUACCUAUUUUUAUUGCAUCAUUUUUUAUUGAUAACGUCAUUCUACUCAGUUCAUUAGUCCUAACAUCGAAUGAUGGUUUCAAGACACUAUUGACGUCAUCCCAGACAGUUCAUUGAACUUUCUAGAAUGUUCUAGAACGUUUUCUGAUCCCCACCUCCAUUUCCGUUUCCGCUUCUGAGCCAGAAGCGGAGGUUUUCAUACUACUGUUAUAAUUGGUCUGAUAAUAAACUUUCGUCUUCGGUCCUGACAUUUUAAAAUACAAGUAUUACAAUAAUGUGUAUAAUGUAAUUAUAAAUGAUAACAUAAGUGGUAAGACUUUUGGAUAUCGUUUCUAUUAUUUUUAUCUUCUCGGUGGCUGUUAGUUCAGGUAAAACAUUGAAUUAGUUUCUAAUUGGAAAUCCUGAUUUUUAUUCAUUAAUUUGUUUUUCACUUCGAAAUUACAUUAAGCUGACGAAGGUGCUAAUUGGUAUAGACAGUUUCAGCUCUCAACACCUCUGGGUUGACACAUUUGAUUAGAGCCCAAGGGAACAUGCGAGGUGGUGGAUGAUCGAUUGGAACUUCAUCAGAUGGAAAUUGGAUUCCAUCUUUUAUCAUUCUCUCUUUACAUUCGAUCACAAGGAAACUUUUUUCCUUUUUCCCGACUUUUAGUCCAAAUAAAUGUUUUUUCACCUUCGA